rnacentral:lncRNA from 1 species
AGAUUUUCGGCUUUUAUAGCCGAUCUACACAACUUUUAAUUUCUAUUUCUUUGUCUUUUUGCUAUUUGUUUCUUCUGUUGUUGCGUGCCUUUUGCAUUCAAUUUUUGCAGGUGUCAGAGCAUGCGGAGGAAAGGCGGCUAAGAACGGUGGUAGCCAGGCAUGGCAGAGGAGGCGAAACGGCGUUGGGGCUGGAGCCUGGGCAUGCGGCGCAUGGAGGCUUGGGGGCUAGGGUUUGGUACUGCUGAAUGGGGUUAAUUUUUGGGCUAGGGUUUCUUAAUUUGGGCCUGUUGGGUAUUUUGGGCCACUGUUUAUUUUGGACUGUGUGUUUUUUUUGCUGGUAUUGGGCUUUAGUGUUUUGGGCCCCGGGCAAAAUGGCUCUUAC